GACUCUUGAAGAUUUUUCUGAAAAAUGUUGAAAACAUGUCCACGACAGCCCCGAGUAACGACGAGUGGCCAAUACCGUAAAUAUCCGAGUUCGAAUCAGGGCAAAAUUCGGGAGAACUCUUGGAAUGAACUCGUACCGUGGGACAGGGCUUUAA